rnacentral:misc_RNA from 1 species
ACAUUCUCAAACCUUCUUGGUUUCUUGACCAGGAAGGCUUUGGACUUUGGAGGCUUUUGCUGGCAUUCCCUUGUUGAAGCCAGCUCCUCUGAAAUGAAUUAGUGGGGUCUGCUUUGCCAAUCCCUGACGUGAUAAGAUAUUUCUACGUCUUGGGUUUCGCAUCUGCAUCCUGCUUCUAACCGUCUCAUAGAAGACAAAUGGCCAAGUGAUUGCCACUCGACCCACAAA